GCUAAAUAGUUAAACCUGAUUUUUAUUCAGGUUGACAACUUCUUAGAGGGACUAUCGGUGUUUAACCGAUGGAAGUUUGAGGCAAUAACAGGUCUGUGAUGCCCUUAGAUGUUCUGGGCCGCACGCGCGCUACACUGAUAAAGUCAACAAGUAACUAACCUUUGCCGGAAGGCAUGGGUAAUCUUUUGAAACUUUAUCGUGCUGGGGAUAGGGCAUUGCAAUG
rnacentral:rRNA from 1 species